GUUCACUGCCGCACAGGCUGCUUAGGAA
rnacentral:other from 1 species